CAGGCUUAGCUAGUCAAAUCAAAUCUACUGUGGGUGGAGAAAUUGCUGAGGGUGGAGAAACUGCUAAUGGUAGUGAGCAAACACAAUCUAUUCCAUGUGAUUGGGAUAUCUAGAUGGAUAUAUUUGGGAAAAAGAAGAAGGAGAGAGUCUUUGGACUUGAUUUUGUAGGAGGAGUUUAAAAUAGACCUCUUCUUCUAAGGAAUCAUCAAUCAUUAUACCCAA
rnacentral:lncRNA from 1 species